GUAGGGUCCGAGCGUUAUCCGGAAUCAUUGGGCGUAAAGAGCUCGUAGGCGGUUCAGCAAGUCGGCUGUGAAAGUUCGAGGCUCAACCUCGAAAUUGCAGUCGAUACUGCUGUGACUUGAAUUCGGUAGAGGAGAAUGGAAUUCCCGGUGUAGCGGUGAAAUGCGCAGAUAUCGGGAGGAACACCAGUAGCGAAGGCGGUUCUCUGGGCCGAUAUUGACGCUGAGGAGCGAAAGCGUGGGGGGAGCAAACAGGAUUAGAUACCCUGGUAGUCCACGCCCGUAAACGUUGGAUGCUAGGUGUGGCGGUCUACCAACGACUGCCGUGCCGAAGCUAACGCAUUAAGCAUCCCCGCCUAGGGAGUACGGCCGCAAGGCUA
rnacentral:rRNA from 1 species